rnacentral:rRNA from 1 species
CCUACGGGAGGCAGCAGUGGGGAAUAUUGGACAAUGGGGGCAACCCUGAUCCAGCCAUGCCGCGUGGGUGAAGAAGGCCUUAGGGUUGUAAAACCCUUUCAGCGGGGAAGAUGAUGACGGUACCCGCAGAAGAAGCCCCGGCUAACUCCGUGCCAGCAGCCGCGGUAAU